UCGCGUCAAGCGCCGUAGGCAGGAGCGGGGGACCCAAGGUAAGUGCCAGGCCCGGCGGUUGACGCCGGUGCCGGCUAGGGGUGAAGCCGCGCCUCGCGAGAGCGAGAGCGCGGCCGGGCAACUCAACCGGCCCGAACCCGACAGCUCACCUCGCAGGCGUCGGUGAGGGGAUCG
rnacentral:sRNA from 1 species